CAGGAAAUGGGCGGAGCUUCUCCGGUGACGUCGCGGGAUUGCGGCUGUGUGUGUGUGUGUCACCCAGGCUACACGACGAAGCUCCACGCACGUUUUCUCAGCCGUGGGCUUUCUAAACAGGUCAGAUACGCUCCAGGAUCCGUCAGUUAAACCGCCAAAAGAUCCCCUCUGACAGCAAGAGAAAGAUUCCCAUGGCUCAGCGUCUCAACUUGUCGAAGUGAAAAGUGUUUUCUUUUGACUUGCAAGUUUUUCUCGUUUUUCCAGCCAUCUUUGAGUGAAUGCGUACCCACAGCCUGUAGAGCGGCAGUGAGUUCAAAAGGACUCAUGGUCCCAGAAGAGUCCUCAUCAAACUGGAAAAAGAUGGACUGAAAGAAAAAACAGAUCUUUAUUACGGUUUCCCUCCGUCUCACCCCAAAGUGUUCCCAGUUUUGGAGAAGAUGCGCACAAAGAACUCUCCAGCCUGGUUGGGUCGAUAGGUGGACGCUACAAGGACGUAGUGACCCGGGUCCAGGUUCUACUUUUAUCCUGCUCAGGGUCAAGUGUGAACUGGAGAAAAUCCCAGCUGACUUUAGGUAAGAGACAGAGUACACCCUAGACUGGACAUCAGUCAAUCACAGAUGUCACGUACACACGAGAGGAAAGACAUUUUGCAGAUGUUCCAAAGAAGGUGCCAGUCCCAGCUGGCCCUAAAGGUGGUAAGACUUGUAAUUAACAGUCUCUAAUUAACAACAUGAUGGCUAUAGACCAUCACAUCGGACUGUUGGCGCUAAAACUUGAUCUCUUGACCUUGUUACUCACCUUGAAAUGGAAAAUGCCGGCGUAAGACUUGUACAGGCUUUGGUCAGGCGGGACCACCUUGAUGAAGAGCUUGGGGUGCAUGGUGAGACAGGACAAUGCUGCCAGCAGCCAGCAGUUACCUGGAGACAGCCAUGGGAUAUAUUUUUUAUUAAAAACAAACACACUAAUAAGUCACAUUCCGUGUGCUCUGUUUUGUUCUACAAAAGCUCUCUUGAUGUGCAGGGAAAAAUGUUAAAAAGUGGAGGAGUAGUAGGAGGAGGUACACUUUGACCUCUCACUUGACUGCGCUCAACUGAAGACAGAAUCAUCAGAGCAGAACAAUCCCAGUGGAAUGCAGAACAAAUAAAGGACUUUUUUUUCUCCCCAAAUCAGUGACUUUUGCUUUUUCCAAAUGAAGCAUUUGGUGAUAACGAUGAGUUGUGUACUUACCUAGCUGACCCUGGCAGAUGUCAGUGGUGCCGGUAGUGCCCUCCACAAACACAGCAUUCUCACUGAUGUCCUUAAAGAAUAGACACACACAUUUGUAAUGAAGUCAUCAUAAAGUCGAAUAGACACUUAGAACCAUUCAAAAAUAAAAUCAGCUUUUACAAAGAUAUUAGACAGGUUUUUUGGUUGUUGUUGUUUUAGAAAAUGUACAAAAAAAAGGUAUUUACUUUUGAUACAGAUUUGCAGGUGCAGUGCACACUGUCUAAUUCACAGGUGUCAAACUUGUUUUCAUUGAG